rnacentral:rRNA from 1 species
UAUUGCACAAUGGGGGAAACCCUGAUGCAGCGACGCCGCGUGGGUGAAGAAGUACUUCGGUACGUAAAGCCAUAUCAGCAGGGAAGAAGAUGACGGUACCUGAUUCAGAAGCCCCGGCUAACUACGUGCCCGCAGCCGAGGUAAUACGUAGGGGGCAAGCGUUAUCCGGAUUUACUGGGUGUAAAGGGAGCGUAGACGGCACAGCAAGUCCGAAGUGAAAGCCCAGGGCUCAACCUUGGGAUUGCUUUGGAAACUGUUGAGCUGGAGUACGGGAGGGGCAGGCGGAAUUCCUAGUGUAGCGGUGAAAUGCGUAGAUAUUAGGAGGAACACCGGCGGCGAAGGCGGCCUGCUGGACCGUAACUGACGUUGAGGCUCGAAAGCGUGGGGAGCAAACAG